rnacentral:rRNA from 1 species
UACAGAGGGUGCAAGCGUUAAUCGGAAUUACUGGGCGUAAAGCGUGCGUCAGUCGGUUAUUUAAGUCGGAAUGUGGAAAUCCCCGGGCUCAACCCUGGGAAUUGCAUUCGAUACUGGAUGGCUAGAGUUCGGCAGAGGGAAGUGGAAUUUCAGGUGUAGCGGUGAAAUGCGUAGAUAUCUGAAGGAACAUCAGUGGCGAAAGCGACUUCCUGGACCAGAACUGACGAUCAGGCACGAAAGCGUGGGGAGCAAACAGG